UUUUCCGGCGUCCAGCUCGCCACCGACGGCCCUUGAAACUUUGUCUGCUUAAUAAAUCCACGCCGUGGCGUACCGAUCACCGCAUCAGGUCCCCAAGGUGAACAGCCUCUGCUCUAUAUGAACAAUGCAGGUAAGGGAAGUCGGCAAAUUAGACCCGUAACUUUGGGAUAAGGGUUGGCUCUAGUGCUGCGUGGGAGUGGUUGCCCACGGUUGGGGAAGUCGGCGACGCUGGCUGGGCGCGGGGGCCUUCGGGACUUGUGCCAGCUGCUGAGCUGGUUUUUCUGCUUUGGGCGACGCCCACGGCAUGCAGCAGACUAGAACUGCAACGGGCAAAGGGAAUCCGACUGUUUAAUUAAAACAAAGCAUUGCGAGGGCCGUGGCCGGUGAUGACGCAAUGUGAUUUCUGCUCAGUGCUCUGAAUGUCAAAGUGAAGAGAUUCAAUCAAGCGCGGGUAAACAGCGGGAGUAACUAUGACUCUCUUAAGGUAGCCAAAUGCCUCG
rnacentral:rRNA from 1 species